rnacentral:lncRNA from 1 species
UCUCUAGAUUGGGAUGGGUCUCAUGUUUAAUAGGAAAAGACAGGGAAGAAAUCACAUAGGAAAAGAGCAAUUUGUUUGAUUACUUAAGAAAGCAAAACCCGAAAUUUAAAGGCAAACUCACAUGAGAUAUACAAAUGCCCAACAAAUGUACACAGAGAACAAUGAUCAAGGCCAUUAAGAAGCAGAGAAUUCAAAGCUCAAAUAGGAUUCUACUUUCAGCUAUUAUUGGGAGGGUGGGUUUUUUUGUUUGUUUUUAUGGUCUGUAUUAUCUGUAUCCUUGUUUGCUUUAUUUUCAGUUUUACUAUCCUAAGGGAGCAGGAGAGGACUAAAAUGGAGAUGCUUUCGGCAACUUGGCACUUUCUAAACUUAACACAUUAAUUUUACAAUCAGAAAAAAAAACCUUUUAUUAAAGUAA